rnacentral:rRNA from 1 species
UACGGAGGGGGCUAGCGUUGCUCGGAAUUACUGGGCGUAAAGCGCACGUAGGCGGCUUCUUAAGUCGGAGGUGAAAUCCUGGAGCUCAACUCCAGAACUGCCUUCGAUACUGGGAAGCUCGAGUCCGGGAGAGGUGAGUGGAACUGCGAGUGUAGAGGUGAAAUUCGUAGAUAUUCGCAAGAACACCAGUGGCGAAGGCGGCUCACUGGCCCGGUACUGACGCUGAGGUGCGAAAGCGUGGGGAGCAAACAGG